AAAAAAAAAUUAGCCGGGAGUGGUGGCGGGCGCCUAUAGUUCCAGCUACUCGGGACGCUGAGGCAGGAGAAUCGCUUGAACCCGGGAGGGGGAGGUUUCAGGGAGCCUCCUCUAAACAGAAAAGACUGACCCCCAGUCAGUGUUUUAUUUUCCCUGAUGACCGCAGGCCAUGAACUUAUGGAACAAUAAGGAAUGCCCAAUUCAGAUGCUGCAGAGAAGAGCAUGAGAACCGGGUGUCUUCAGGACAGGUGUGCAUCUGGGAGCAGAGUGGGCAUUCAUCAGCAGGGAGGAGCAAGGCCUGGGUCGGGGGACACUGGGGCUGCUGUCCCAGAGGUUGGCAGUGUAGCCCUGAAUCCCCAAGACUUCACUCAGUCUCCCCUCAACCACCUAAACCAGAAUAAACUGAUGUAGCAGGACUCCUCAAACACUGUGCAGGGUCUCCAUGUCCUCGAUGGCCCCUGAUGAGCCACAGUACCCUCAGGUCCUAGUGAAGGAGCUGGUGCUGCCUCCUGCCUUUCCCCACAUGGGGUCCUGCAGCUCAUCCCACACAGCCUCAGAUUCCCUCUACAGAACCUGCCCACAGAUGUCUUCUGAGACCAGCAAUACUGGGAGGCCUGUGGCCCAGACCCAGGAGGAACCAGCUGAGAGGCUCCGUGGAGGUAUCGCUGAUGGUGUAACCAGAAUGAAAAUGCCCACUUCUGUUCUGCUCCCUGAGAACAACUGUCAAGCCAGCAUGAGUUUCCAGUUGGAACUUUUCCUUUUCUCCCCAUGUUUGUCACUGUUUUAAUGGACAUCGCCUGGCUAUUAAAUCCCCCGAUGAACUCACUUUGAAAAUUAUCUAUUGCACUGGGCACCCUUUCAGGAAUCACUGAGUGUUAAUUUUCUCAGUCUGAGUGAUAAUUUAUGAGUCAAACAAGGACAGAUCUGAAGCCAGAGGCUGCUCCUGUUGGGAAAUCCCUGAGGAUGAUGUUCCAGGGAAGCCUCCAGCCUUGGGAGUCCCGUGGAACUGAGCCAGCCCAGGUCAUGAAGGGAGCUGGUGCCAGACACUGACUGGGGACCUGCUGGCCUCUGGGCAGACCGCUCUGUCGCUGCACUUGGCCUGCUGGGUAUCCCUGUGCAGUCAUACCAAGUCCUGUGCUCAGAAGGGCCCCAGAGUAGUUUAAAGUUCUGCUGCCGCCCCUGGAAGCUCAUGAUUUUGAACAACAACAACAACAAAAAACCCACGUUUUCCACUCGGCCCCACACAUUAUGUGGCCUGCGCAGCUGUCAGGCUGUGGCCACAGUGCUGGCAUCUCUCACACAAUGAAGGCUGCUGGAGUCCUGGCUGACUUGUUUUGACUCUUUUGUGAGGCCCACACCUAAGCUAAACACUCACGUGCCCCCACGCUGACUCCCCACACUCUAAAGCAUGAAUCUGCCCCUUCAGCUGGGAGAGGGUCCUCGUGUCAUCUGGGUUUUUGGAGAGAAGGUCAAGGGAGCCUGGGUUCUAGUUCUUCAGUAAUCAAGAGCAAUGGUCUUACCUGUUCACAGGUCCCUGUGGCUGCUUUACAGAAAGCAGGAAGUGGCCACUUCAGCCACACGGCUGCAUUUCCAGCUCAGUCCAGGCAGAGCUGCACCCUGCCUUGCACCUCUGCAGAUCCUGAGGGGAGUCCUUAACUGAGCCAGGGCGAGUCCUGGGGGCACUCUGCCCCUGGGCAGGCCCUGAAUCUCCUCUGCUCCCACACUCUAGAGUUCAACAGGUCUCAGGGGCUCUGCCUGAGGACUGUCCUUCAACCAGGUAUUCGUAAUUUCCCCAAGACCCAGGCUUGCUGAGUCACUCAGUUACCUGAAUGCCUUUUUCACAAAGGAAUGACUGUGCUGCUCCGUCUUCCUUCUUUUUUGUUUGCGAGGCCACAGGGAAAUCUGGAUCCUCUGGUGAAAAAGCAAAUCCAGUUGCUGCUGCUGCUGCUGCUGCUGCUGCUGCUGCUGCUGCUGCUGCUGCCGCCGCCAGUUCUUGUAAAUGUCCUCACUUGGUUUCUGGGCAGCAACUUCCUUGACUUGCCUGGGGAGCGGAUCUGAGCUGCAUUUACCAGGCCAUGCCCAGGGGAAGUGAUCAGUGUGGGACCGUGAAGCUGGAUUUCCCCAGGAGCUCCCUCCAAGCUUCUGGGAUGAUGAUAAGACUCGGGAUGAACCAAGGAUCUGGAACCAUGGGACAAUGUGAAGUCUAGACCCAGUGGAGGAAGAGAAAGGCUAUGGGAAGGGCAGGCUUCACGUUACUGAGCAUCCGCUACCUGCCACACACUUUCACGUGGACUUAUUCUGUGUGUUUCUCACAGCACCCUUGAGAAAUAGAGACUACGAUCACAUCUUUUACAUAAAAGAAAACCACCAUCCAGGGAGGCGAAGUCCCUUGCUCACAGACUGUCAUGUGGGAAGCUCUCUGGAUGCAAUGAUGUCCUCCAGUUGCAGUACCAGGCAAGCUGUCCCAGAGUUCAUGGAGCGGAAAGGCUCGAGAAGCAACUGAGGAUGCUCAAAUCACAGGUUUAUAAAAUCCAUUCGUAAAACACAGCAAGAAGCUGAGGGAAGGAGAUGGGAGGGCCGUAUGACCUGAUUCCUGUGCUGUCAACAUUCAUCGGUUCUCUUCUUUCUCUGCUAGUCAACCUCACCCACUCAGGUGUGACCACGAGGACCAGAGCCGAGGUCUGGGCAAGAGUGCUCACAGCUUAAGGGCUUAUGACACACACCGGCUCAACGGGACAGACAUGGGACAAGUGUGCCUGAUCAUGGUGGCGUUGCCAAGAAGCAGCUGUCGCACUGCCAUGGGUUCUACGUGUUUCUUGGGCAGAGGACGCAUGGGACCAGAAUGGGCACCAGGAAUGGUGGUGAACAAAGGCCCCAUGGUUCUGCAUGUUUAGGUGUCUCUUGUAUAAAGGCACAUUGUGAAUUGAACAUUUAGUGCCCAGGAGCCUCAUGCAUAUUAAGUAUCUCUUGGCCCUUGUGUCUCUUCCUUCCCACAUGUAACAUACCUGUUCUCUGUAACUAUCUAUUCUGAACGUAUCUAAAAACCAUGUCUUGCCUGUGUU
rnacentral:lncRNA from 1 species